CCGCAGCUGAGCAUACUCAGGUAUACAGAGAUCCCUUAGACCACAGCUCCCAGGAUCAUGGCGGGUAGCCCCUCUCUGGACCCACAGGUGUGUGAGAACUACCAAUGGGAGAAGAGCUUGGCCCUUCCUAAUGCUUGGAGUCUGAUGGACUCCAAAGGCCACUGUGUUUUGGUGCAGAACUGGAGUUUUUCUCAUGGGCCUGGGACUGACCUGAACCAUCAGUGCUGCUAUGGAGCGGAACUGACUCUUCGGCUAGGCCCUGAGAGACCCCCCCAUCAGGGCUCCUUGGAUGAGGGAUGCCCAGGCCUGGGCUUGACCUCCCAAGGUUAUUUUGGACCAUAAUGAGCCCUGCUUCCGGCACACCCUCGGCUCAGAACCAGCCCAGAACUUCACUGGAUGCUACAGGAGGCAGGAGCAUUGGUGGAUGACCUUCAGAAGUGGGCAGUGCUGCUUAAGGGGGAGGGAUCACCCCCACUUCACCUCCACAGCACGUAAGCUUUGCAAUUAGAGACCAGGGACCAGUAGAACUUGGAGGAUGGCAGCGUGACACUAGAACUGGCCUCCCACGCUGCUCUGACUGGCUUUCCCCGAGUACUGGAGAUGUGAGAAGAUAGUCAAAGCCACCGGCAAGGGGUUGGGGGCUGAGAAUUGUCCCCUUUGCUUGACCAAGGGCCAAGGGACAAAGUAGCAGGGUCCAAGGAGGCACCUCUCUCACAUGGAGGGGAAUCAGGCUCUAUCACUACAGAAUAAGUGUCCUCAGUUGGAGGCCCUCCCUGCCCGGGGGAGGGAGAUAUCCUUGGCAGUGCCGCUCCUGGCCCCCACAGUUCUCUCAGCUGAGCCGAGAAGCAAUUCUCCUUUGCCCCUGGCCACUCCUCACUCGUGAGUGGGGAGCGUGACUCACAUCUGUGGGGAGGGCAGGCACAGUUAGGUGAGCCUCAUUCAAAUGCCAGGCAGACGCAAAUAGCACGCUUUCCUAUGAAUAGCUUCCCCAGCUGUUCUGCGGGAGGCUGAGCGCGUCCUUAUCCAAAGUACAUUUGCCCUGUUCUUAUUUAUGAGCCGAAUCGGGAACCAUGGGCUGCUUACCUUUGGCCCCUCAAGGCCAGCUUUGUGUUCUUUGUUCUCUAAAGUCUCACCCAAGUGAAAUAUUAACUGGUGGUGGGACAAAAGGGCCUGGUGCCUCUGAAGGCAGGGCUGGUGGAGAAGGAUGCCUGGAGGGUGUGUUGUUCCCUGACCUGGAAUUUUCCAUUCCUCUUGUGCUCACAUGACCAGGGCAGUGCUUUCUUCAAGUCACAAAAUGAAGAUGGCUGCCAGGGUGGCUGGUGCUAAAAAACCAGAUAGUGGUGGCCAUGGCUGUUAAUGGCACCAUCAUCACUGAUGAUGAUAAUCUCAGUGGUACAGCCUGAUGGAAGCUGUUAGGCCUGAGUGCCAGGAGGCCAGGGCCGUGGCCAUGGCUCUGCCUCCACAGCAGCCUGGAGAACCUUGGGGAAGCCACUAGAUGCCUUGGCCCUCUACUCCUCAGCUGUAACACGGGGAGGCUGGGAGCACAGAGGUCCUUUCCUGCUCUGAUGAUCUCUGCAUUUAUGAACUGCAUUGAUAGCUGGUCGCAGUAGCUGUAUUGCUUUAUCUGUGAGGAGUUAUUAGGGUGCAUCCUCCACUACCUUUGUACCUCUCUUUCCCUUCUCUCCAUCUGCCUCACUGUUUCUUGGCCUCAUUCCCUUUAUCUCAUUUCCUUCAUCUUUAUCUUCAGGCCGAGGACUUCUAAGCUAGACUACACAUUGAUUCAGUGUCUUUUGAAUCAAGAGGGCCCACCUCUGCCACUUUCUAGUUCUGCCACUUCCUAGCUAUGUGACCUAAGCCAAAUUAUUUUGUUUCUCUGCAUAUCAAUUUCUUCAUCUAUAAAAAGGCAAUCGGGUUAGGGCUUUUGUAAAUAUCGCACAUAGUGUCUUGUAUGUGAAGGCUCCACGGAUAGAAGGCAUGGCAUGUUUAACAUGUGAAAAUUGGCAUACAUAAAGAACUCAUCUUUCUUCCCGCAGACCUCCUUCUGUCUCUGUUUCUGUUACCAGGGAUACUCUCCUCCGAAUUAUUGGGGUUUGGGGUUGAUGUCAGCUUGCCUUUUUUGUCCCCUUGUUCCCUCCAGUAUGUGUCUCCAGAAGCCUUCCUUUCCAUUCCUGUGGGGUCUGACAGUUGUUGGAAGAAGGCCUGCAGGUCCAGGGCCGAGCAGGGGCCUCCACCGUCUGCUGAGGAACUUACUGUGUCUCUGUUUGAUUGAGCCUGGGCAUGAGAUAAAACACGAGGUCAUCUGCAAUGGCACUGGUGCUGUGGCUGUAUCAGCAUGGCUCUGAUGUCCCUUCGGGGCAGGCAACAGUUCAGGGAGGACUUACAAGCAAGCUCUGAUGGAGUCUCGCUCUGUCGCCCAGGCUGGAGUGCAGUGGUGUGAUCUCGGCUCACUGAACUUCCCCUCCCCAGUUCAAGCGAUUCUCCUGCCUCAGCCUCCCUAGUAGCUGGGAUUACAGGCCCCCACCACCAUGCCUGGCUAAUUUUUAAAUAUUUUUAGUGGAGAUGGGGUUUCACCAUGUUGGCCAGGAUGGUCUUGAGCUCCUGACCUCAAGGGAUCCACCCGCCUCGGCCUCCCAAAGCACUGGGAUUACAGGUAUAAGCCACCGCGUCCGGCCUACUCCCACUUUGUUUCCAAGGAUAGUCAAGUGAAGGAGUGGGAGUGGAGAAGGAACAAAUAAAUCUGUAACUGCUUGUGAUCAAUUAGUUGUUAAUGUCAAUACCACUGCACUGAGAAGGCUGAGGUUCACAAAGGUGAAGUGAUUUAUCUAAGGUUUUAUGUCUGGUUUGUAGAGAGCCAGGACCCAAAUCCAGACCUUCCCCUACAGACCCUGACCCUUCCUCUGCCUUGUGCCGAUGCCUUGAGGGGACCCUUCCCAAGGUCCCCUGGGCCACACCCUGCUCCCCUGACCCACAGGGCUGCUGAGGUCACCUCUUUCAAAGGGUCUGCUUUGGUUCCACUUUGCCAUUAGAAUAAAGCUUUG
rnacentral:lncRNA from 1 species